rnacentral:lncRNA from 1 species
CGGGACCAGGCAGAAAGGAGUCGGCGUUUCUUGGACACUCCGGAGCCGUGCGCGGCGGAUGGAAGGAUAACGACCCCGCGGCCCUCCGCGGCCGGGGGCUCUGGCGGUGAGUCAUCUGGUACACCACACACAGAUUCAUGGUUAAGCGGUUUAAAGUCGUUCUUAGAUUCUUGGACCAGUAGGGAGGGGGCUUCACCGCAAUUCUCGAGGGUGUGGGGUCCGGUGGCUGGUCUUACGUCCGCGGGACAGGCAAGCACGGGGAUUGGUGACACCGGGGUAGCCGCAUCCGGGUCGGUAGGGGGGCCGGGCGAAAAGACGGACGUAGGCGGCGAGAUUACCGACGCGGCGCGGCAAAAUGUGCACGUUUCUUUCGCGGGCCCCUUAGGCUGUCAUCUUAAGGCCGAGUUGAAGGACAAGAUUUGGAAAGGUGAGUUCGUGGAAGUUUUUGCCCUUCUUCCUCUGGAGGAGUUUCUUGACCUGAAAGAGGAGGACAAGAAGGACGCAAAGAAGGAGGAAGAAGAGAAAAGGCGUAGGUAUAGGAAGAUCCCCAAGACGUUUGCGAACUGGCUACGGGCAUUUUGUAUAUUGGCCAGUGUUAUCGGGGAAAAAUUCCCCGACCGCUGCUCACAACUUUUUUGUUAUCUGGACGGGAUUGGGGACGCGUACCGAACAUACGGGGGAGUAGCAUGGUGGAAAUACGAUGAGCAGUUCCGCCAGCGUUUAGCGGCGAAACCUAGUAUGCGGUGGGAUCAAAUGGACCUACCCUUAUGGAUGAGACUGAUGAUGGCGCAGAAGGCUGCGCCCUUUCACGGGGCGGCCGGUGCGGUACCCGGAGGAUCGGCACCGGCCGGGCAAAAGAAGGGUGUGGCGAAACCAACCUCGCCACUGUGAACUGGAGAAGCCUGGUUGCUCGCCUGCUCCCUUUGGACUAUGGCCCUGCAGGUUAAACCGUUUAUUUCCCCUGCAGAAAGGCUUAUUUGUGUGAUCUGAGUGCCAUUCAUCUAAUAAUGUGCACUCAGAUCCCAACUAUCUGGGGAUAUGUGAAAUGUCUGUGUGUUAUGUGUAAAUGUGACUUUAUGUAUUUUAAAGUGUUUUGUGUCUUUUUGCAACCAUGUGCUUAAUGGAGUCUUGUGUCUAUCCUGGGAGAUAAUUGAAUUACUUAUCUCAGGAUAGAAGACUCUGAAACUGGUUUGGGCCAGAAAGCCAUGCUUCAUUUAGUCACAAAGGACUUUUUACUAACUUUUGAACCCCUUGUCUGAUUUGUGCCAUUUUUUGAAUAUGUUGUUCCCCUGAAUGGAUUGAUUGUGAAUAUGUAAUUUUAUGUGAAUGUGAUGUAUGGUUUUAGAGUUAUGAAAGUUGGGUAGAAAGUAUGUUUUAACUGUAUGUGUAAUUGAGUUUCCUCUCAGGAUAAGGGGAGGGAAUAUGUGGGAUGUAACUGUGAUGUGAUUGGUUGUUUUGUAACGCCCUGUGGGCUGUACUAUGUUUGUGGAUUGGGAAUAAAAGAGACUGUAUGUGACAGUACAGGAGUUCCUGUUUUAACCCUCAAAGUGAAGUGUCGUCUCAUUAUUGGGGGAAGGAUUUAUUGUAUGCUGUUCCAGUUUGACUGCUAGGAGAGUAAACCUAUUUGUAUGGUUCCAAUUCAACUGUCUACAGCAUUCAUAUGCUUGGGAGAAUUUAUUUGUUUCUCCAGUUCGGUGAUUGUGGUGUCUGCCAGAGUGCUUGGAGUCCUCAGGAAGCGCUAGGAGCAUCCUUCAACGGAGGUACCCAGUCGGGGUGCCAGGUGAUCCGUUACAUUGGUGGCAAGCGGUGGGAUGGCGUCCUAGUGCGAGGUAAAGCAGCUCGGAGACACAGUUUGUGGAUUUACAAAUUGAGGGCAACGCUAGUACCCGUACAGCGACCCUAUCUACCAAAGAACUAACUUCAGCAGAGCAAGCAUGGCGUAUGACUACACUCAGGAGGAGUUUGACAGAGAGGUUAAUGAGGUGCUGUCUACCUUUGGACCCAACCCCCCAGAGAGAGCCGUGCAGCUCGCCAGGAAACUAGUAGGAGAAUACCUGCAAUCUCUAGUAGAUUUGGCCAAAAAGGAGUCCCAGGGAGCCAAAGGUGUCAUCCUUCCUCCCCAGCGGCAGUGUGUACCCCAGGGAGCCAAAGGUGUCGUCCUUCCUCCCCAGCGGCAGUGUGUAACCCAGGGAGCUGAAUGUGUCGUCCUUCCUCCCCAGCGGCAGUGUGUACCCCAGGGAGCAGAAGGUGCCGUCCUUCCUCCCCAGCGGCAGUGUGUAUCCCAGGGAGCUGAAGGUGCAGUCCUUCCUCCCCAGCGGCAGUGUGUAUCCCAGGGAGCUGAAGGUGCAGUCCUUCCUCCCCAGCGGCAGUGUGUAUCCCAGGGAGCUGAAGGUGCAGUACUUCCUCCCCAGCGGCAGUGUGUAGCCCAGGGAGCUGAAGGUGCCGUCCUUCCUCCCCAGCGGCAGUGUGUACCCCAGGGAGCUGAAGGUGCCGUCCUUCCUCCCCAGCAGCAGUGUGUACCCCAGGGAGCUGAAGGUGCCGUCCUUCCUCAACAGCGGCAGUGUAUAUCCCAGGGAGCUGAAGGUGCAGUCCUUCCUCCCCAGCAGCAGUNNNNNNNNNNNNNNNNNNNNNNNNNNNNNNNNNNNNNNNNNNNNNNNNNNNNNNNNNNNNNNNNNNNNNNNNNNNNNNNNNNNNNNNNNNNNNNNNNNNNACAUGGACAAAGUUCUCCUCUACCCAAGUGUAGUAACCAGUUAUUGUGGGUGGGCUGUACUGCUGUUUCUGUUUUGUGGGUGGGUUGCUGGACUAACCAGGGCACUGACCGGCGGGAGGUCAGAUGAACUUUGCAGGCAGUUGGCUCGAGCUACGUGUGGAGUGCGGUCUCCGGGUCAUUACAUCAGGGUCUCAGCUGACAUGAGGGCGGAUUUGGAUGUAUGGAUACACUUUUUACGGGAGUUUAACGGCCGUGUCUAUUUUAGGGAUUCAGCAGCGACGUCGGAGGACAUAGGUUUAUUUACCGACGCCUCGGGGAGCGUGGGUUUUGGGGCGUACCUGGGGGGGAAAUGGUGCGCGGAGGAGUGGCCUAGGUCUUGGAAGGAAAGCUCCUUAAUCAGGAAUCUGGCCUUCCUGGAGUUCUUCCCAGUGGUGGUGGCAGUAGCUCUGUGGGGCGAGGAACUCGCGAACAGGAAGGUGAUUUUCCACUCGGACAACAUGGCGGUGGUACAAGCGAUCAAUAGUAUUUCGGCUUCGUCGCUGCCUGUAGUACGGUUGUUGAGACACUUGGUUCUUCUUUGUAUGUCAUGGAAUAUUGUUUUCAGGGCCCGGCAUGUUCCGGGCUUGUUGAAUGUUGUUGCUGACGCGCUGUCUCGUUCACAGUGGGAACGUUUUCGGGAGGCAGCUCCGGGCGCACAAGAUACGGGUCAGGCGUGCCCAGAAGACAUAUGGCAGCUCGGGACAUCGUGCUUGGGGAUUUCGUAAGGAGUUCCUUAGCGCCAGGCACCUGGGCGGCGUACACUAAGGUUUGGACGGAAUGGGAGGAGAUGGUAGGGCAGACGGGAGGGGAGUCCUCUGCAGCAGGUAGGUUUGACACAUUGUUAUGGUUGUUGUGUCGGUUACUGGCAGGCGGGGCCUCGCCCUCCAGCGUGGACCGUUACAUGUCCCCUGGCGUUAUUGGUUUUAUUUUAAUGAAUGUAGGAUUUACCAAGAGUUUUAUUGUGAAAAAGCUCUGCCGGUGAAAUGAGAGGACCAUGGUUCAGUGUCGUUUGCACCUGCAAGGGCUGUGUGGGGGCUGGCGAUUGUGCACAUUGUUGUUUGAUGGUUUUAUUUUGGUAGGUUUGUAUGGGACUUCUACAGGAGUUCCGCAAAGUGAAGUGUCGUCUCAAUUGGGGGAGGAUUUAUUGUAUGCUGUUCCAGUUUGACUAGCUAGGCCUACAAAUUCCUAUUCAACUGUCUACAGCACGCUCCUCCUAAGACGGAUCCUCAGUGACAGGGAGAGGAAGGAAGGUGGUAUUGUUCUCGUUACCUGGGUCGGAGGUCUGCCCGGUGGUAUUGUUCUCGUUACCUGCGGGCGCGAGUUCUUACACAUUCGCCCAGAGGAGUCGGGGUGCUUUUUUAUCCAUGAAGACGGUUUUGCACUGUCACGUUUUCAAUUUAUCCGGGUAUUUCGCAUGGGGCUUAAGCGGUUGGGCCUACAUCCCAUGCAAUUUGGCACUCAUUCGUUUCGCAUCGGGGCGGCAACGGAGGCGGCACGACUGGGCCUGGGGGACGAACGGAUUAAGCAGAUCGGUCGGUGGGAGUCCAUUCGUUUUCGUUCGUAUGUGAGACCAGAUUGGUUGGUAUAACGUGGUCAGGGUCAGGUUGGGGGGUUUUCAAUACGUGCUCCGCAAGUUAAUUGAUUCUGUUUCUUUACAGGUAUGGUUGCCUGGUUGGUGGGUCACUCUUACAUUUUUUGGGCGCAGAAGAGGGCCGCAGUUCGGAGGAAUGGAACACAGCUGGGUUUUCUUCUGGAAACGGUGGAGUUACAGUGGUUUGGUUUUCGUGGUUUCAGUUGGCAGAACAUUAGUGGAGUAAUUUUUAGGAUGGUGUCAGGGGGGGCUUCCCCUGAUAUACUACUUAUUCACGGUGGGGGUAACGAUUUGGGAUUGAUUCCUCAGAGGGAACUAAUUAGGAGAAUGAAGCGGGAUCUGGAUCGGCUACGGGAGCUGGUGCCUGGCAUGGUGGUAGUAUGGUCCGAGAUGGUGCCGAGAUUUAA